UAAGAUAAAAUCAAUUUAUGAUGUUUCAUUUACAAUGAAAUUAAGAAUUUAGUAAUUCUAUUUUAA
rnacentral:tRNA from 1 species